rnacentral:ncRNA from 12 species
UCCAAAUACCGGUAAGCAAUCGCUUAUGUCAGGUCGACAAUCAGAGAGCGAUCGAUGAGAUUAAGUGUAUGUUAAGUACACCGCACUGGUUGGGGGCGCCCGCUUGGACGCUUUUUUUAUGGCA